rnacentral:sRNA from 1 species
UGUCUUCUUGCCACCCCCAGCCCCAGUCAUCAUCAUCAUCAGAGUCUUGGUUUGAGUAGGAGGUGACUUUGUCUUGAGAUUCUGUUGGCUCUCAACAAAAUUGGCAAAGACAAGCAUGGCCCAGGUUAUUUUGCUGAGGGAAAGAGAUAGAAGGGUGAGUGAGUGAGUGUGUUUGUGUGCGGGUGCAUGUGUGUAAUUUAUAAAUAGGAUCAAUUGCCUACUUUAAUAAGUAUAUAGAAAUAAAGUAGUAAAACAAAUAUGCCCAAGAAUGAACUCUUCAGUGAUGCUUGUCUUGUACCGUCGUCUUUUUUUCUGAGGUUGUUGGUGAUAAGUGAUACUGCAGUUAGUGAUUAUUGAUUUGUUUCCCUAGGCAAGAAAUUAUAGAGCAGCUUCUAUCAAAUAUUUUCCACAAGGAGAAAAAUGAGUCAGCCAUAGUCAGUGCAAUCCAGAUAUUGCUGACUUUACUUGAGACACGACGACCAACAUUUGAAGGCCAUAUAGAGAUCUGCCCACCAGGCAUGAGCCAUUCAGCUUGUUCAGUAAACAAGAGUGUUCUAGAAGCCAUCAGAGGAAGACUUGGAUCUUUUCA